UACGUAGGGUGCAAGCGUUAAUCGGAAUUACUGGGCGUAAAGCGUGCGCAGGCGGUUAUGUAAGACAGGUGUGAAAUCCCAGGGCUUAACCUUGGAACUGCAUUUGUGACUGCAUAGCUAGAGUACGGUAGAGGGGGAUGGAAUUCCGCGUGUAGCAGUGAAUGCGUAGAUAUGCGGAGGAACACCGAUGGCGAAGGCAAUCCCCUGGACCUGUACUGA
rnacentral:rRNA from 1 species